UAGCGGCACAUACAUUAUUUGUUAUAAACAGAUAAAUGAAACUGUUUUAAACGACAGAGAGUUAAACGCUUUCAGACUUUAUCACUUUAAAACGUAUAAUGUGAAGCUGAAUGAAUUACCAAUUUGCAAAUACGAUCUGUAUUUAAAACAAGUAAAGCAGCACACGUUUAGGUUAAAAGCUUUUUAGAAAUAUCUUUCAUCAUUACAGGAAGGGCAGUGAAACUGGAUUUAUUUAUCACACUAGUUCAAACCAACAUUGUUCAUCCAACAAAACACUGAAUAUUGCAGAGCACGUUUUUGCAGCUUACCCUUCUAGAUCGUGUCUUUCGGCCUAGGGCCAGGAAAAAAGUCAGAGUAGCAAAUGUGUAAUUGGAGAAUUGUUUAUCAACAACUGUGAAUUAGAGAACCUCAAAACGCCAAAAGCUAAACUGGUCGGUGUUGCUGAUAGCGUUCCAAGUAUUAUUGUUGGGGGCCAUUCAAAGCUUCUAUGGAAUACAGACCGCCGCACAUUCACUGCAAACAAUUGCAAUCACCUGGAACCUGACGGGGAAAUCUUCAUAAAAAAGCCAGGUUACUAUAAAGUGUUGUCAACGCUCAAUGUUAAUGCCACAGGAACCAACACUUCUCUGCAAACUUUCAGUCACCAGGUUAAUCUAGUUACCAACAGACUUGUAACGACUGAUGUACUUCUGCAACGCACAACAUCCAUCAACGAAUCAAACCACGGUGUUUUUACAAGUUUUAUUUCUGCUGUUUUCAUGCUUCAGAUGUAUGAUAGGAUAUCUGUGUCUGUGAGCCAUGAAGAAUAUCUUGCACGUAACUGCUCUGCUGACAAUCUUGUUGCGUUUUUCACCUACAAUUUUUAGAUUUGAUAAGAUUUACCUUUGACGUGUUUUUUUUUCUUUAUUCAGGAUUGUUGGGAUAAGAGUACGGUUUGUGCACGUAAACUGGUUUAAUUAAACCCCAAGUAAAUCGACAUUUUACUGACCGUUCCAAGGCGGUACCUAACAAUCCUUGAUAAACAUAUCUAUAUGCACUGUGUUGUUUGUGGAGUUUUGUGCUGUUGUUCCAUGUUUCUUGUUUGUGUUUUGUUUUUGUUUUUGUGUUCUAUGUAUUGUCGUUUACCCUGUGCCAUUAAACGGGGUUUAUGUUUAAACUUUUGUCUCUCGUCUAUUUCCUUUUCUUACAUUUUCAUUUUCAAACAAACAUCAUUUCUGAAACUUCUCCAUACUGCCUCACUCUUACAGAUUGAUAGUUUUGGAAUUAUAAAGAUAAAUUGUGUCCAAACCGGCUGAUUUUGGCAUCAAGGCUUUUAAUUCGGUCAUAUAAGAUAUAAGUAAAACAGAUCUCAAUCGUUUAGGAAAACUGCCGAUAUCUUCAACUUUCUUAAGCGUACUUUUUGCCGUAAGCCAUAAAACACCAAUGUUCGAACUUGAAUAUGAAAAACUGCAAUCUGAUCUUUUAUCACUGGUUUCCAGACAUUUGCACAAUAAUUGGCUGAUUUAAAGACAAAAUAAAUAAAAUUUGUGAAAAUAGUCAAUCUGUGAGAGGGAAGUUUUAACUGAUGUGGCAUUAAGCUUUUGUUUAUACUUUUUGAUGUGAUUUUUAAGGCUUUUAAAAUAAUUGAUGUGAAAAUCUCAUUCCUAUUAUUUAUGUUUUAUUCCAUCUCUCCUAUUUUACUGGUUCGUACCCCAAAAAUAACAUUUACCUGAAGAUUGACCUGUAAUACACGGAAGCAAGUAGCAAAACUGCAAUGCCAACCUGGAACGAAAAAUAAGCGUUAUAUGGCAAUAGGGGACCGAAUAAAGACAUAAGUGUGUUCAGUUCUAUUUGAAACAUACUGAAAUAUAUUUAUGGCGCACAUCCUUGAAAAUGCCAUAGUCUGAAUUGUGCUAUUAGGAAGGUGAAAAGGUUAACGUUUUUUUAGUAGAUAAGAUGUCCGCAUACAAAUCAUGGCUGUGGGUUCAAGCCCAGGGGUACUUUUUAUGGCCACAGAAAAAGACCCGAGACUAAUUAUACAAGCUUUCAGCCUCGUCACAAUCUAGCAAAAACAAUUUGGCAUUAGCUAAAAUGUAAGCGGAUUUUCAAUGAUUGUUACCAUUUGUGUUGACUUGUUUUCCUAUCGGUCAGAGGGAUGAGUAUUGCAUGCUGCAACCAAAGUUUAUGUCCUUUAUUUGUAACUACAAUAAAACACGUGCCAUCAAAUUGUAUUGCAUUAUGAAAUUGGAAAUAAUAGUAUAUAGAAAACCGGUGGGACAGCGCCAGUUUUACCACAGGGACAAAAUUUAAACAAUCUCGGUAGAGGGUCAUUUUAAUUUUAAUGCUUCAUACGACAUGUAAGGAGUUUUGGCCCGGCAGUUUCAGAGAAGAAAAUUUAACUAUACAAGUAUAUACAGUGAAAUCUUUGUUUUAAAAAGGCCAAGAACUUUACGACAAUAUAUACAACUCUCUUUACACAGUAGUUUUUUCCAUUGGAAAAUACUUUUCAAGGCAGAGUUUUGAGCAAAGGGAAAUAACUCCUAUAAUAUUACAAAAAACUCUCAGUACUAUGUUGUCUUUCUUGAGAAAUUAUUGUGCUUUUCAAGGGCCAUUAUCCAGUCUUUCGGUUUAAGAAAGGAACUCAGCUCUUAUGGAUAUCUAACAACUGUAUACAUUGUAUUAAGAUACUAUCAAAACUAAACACUGAAUCGCGUUUUCACAAACAAAUGUUUACAGACGCACGGACACGCAUAUAACGUUCACCGUCCUUAUUGAUAGAAGCCAAACUCAAGCCAAGUAUUCCAAGAGGCACAAGGUCAAUUCCAAUGACAUUGAACUUCGAUUUUUUUUCAAAAUCACCGUAAAAACAAAACGAGUUAAAACAGUUCCAUGUAGCGGUGUGUCUGGCCUGUAUUUGUUUUUAUUUACAAUUAGUUUUACAUGUAUUCCGACGAUAAGCCAAACAUACAUAAAAAUCGAAUUGAUUUCACGCUUAUCGCAUCCCAUCUGCAUGUUAUUUUGCUUCGAUAAUGUUUUACAAUGCCAAGUAUUGCCUGUAAGUGAUUAAUUAUAUAUCUUGUACUGCAUGAGUCCGUAUGAAUAGACACCUGUGUUUUUCAACUUUUAGUUUUGCAUACUUUAUACGUAAAUAUCUGCAAACCAAUGAUAAAACAUUGCUGACAAAAAUUCAGAUCGCAGGUGUUUAUAUUUCCAUUCGAAAAAUAAUAUUUUAUGGCUUAAACCGUUACUAAUGGUAUAAGAAAAAUGCAUACAGCAUCAAAUUUUGAACUUAAAUACAACAAUCUGCGAUCUAUUUAUUUUGUCAGCAGUAUUAUAUAACUGGUUUCCAUGCAUAUUCGCAAAAAUUGGAUCAUUCCAAGUUAAAAAAAUAAAAAAGUUGUCAAACGUUCAAUCUGUGAGAGUGUAGCUUUAAAUACACGGUUACAAUAUUGUUACCAGUUAUUAAUAUUUGUACACAUUGAUAUUCUUUGGUAUAACGAUUUGUUUUGAAUGGUAUACAUAUAUAUAACUAUAAUGGAAUUCUAUCCCGGACACUCUCAGAAAAGAAUCAUCACUUAAUUCAUUCAAAAGAGCUCUCAAAACACAACUUUUCAA